GCCCUGGUAGCUCAAUUGGUUAGAGCGUCGGACUUUUAUAAGUAUCCUUAUAACUCGUUAUCCGAAGGCUGCGGGUUCGACCCCCGCCUGGGGCG